GGACUCUGGUUUCCCUUCAGAUCAUAUGAGUUUUUCUCCUUUUACUAAAAAUUCUGUGGAGAGGAACAACUCUGAGUCUUAAACCAAUGUUUUGAGGCCUUGUUGUAGCAAGGCU